rnacentral:tRNA from 1 species
CAACCGUUGCGAUACGGCGUCGUCGCGAUUGCGCGUCGCGUAGGCGACGAGUUCGAUGCGCGCGCGGUCCA